UUGGACUGCUCACAGAAUAGCUUGAGUGUAGGGGAAAUAAUGCCCUGGGAGACUCCCAGCUAAUGGAGAAUGGGAUCAAUGCUGCACCUUCAGUCCUUCAGAAGAACAACUGAAAGCAUCUGUCAACUUCUCAGGAGGUCCCAGUGGAAUGGAGGCUCCAUUGCCCACAGCACUGAUCCUGAUGAUGUUUCUCACAUCAGUGCUUCCUGCUCCUGACUAAUUCUCCCUGCUCAAUCACUGUUACAUGCUGGGAUCACCUCCCAUAUGAACUACCUGCACUAAUUUCUUGCCUCAAGUUUUGCUUUUCGGAGAACCCAGGACAGACAUACAGGUGGAGCUGUUCCAAAAACAAAGUGAAGGGCAUGGACAUCAGAUUGUUCUCCCCUCAGUCUUCAGUUUUUCAGCUAAGUUCUGACAUGACGACACAGACUGAAC
rnacentral:lncRNA from 1 species